rnacentral:rRNA from 1 species
ACAACAGGUGGAGCCUGCGGUUUAAUCGGACUCAACGCCGGGAAACUCACCAGAUAAGACAGCUGAAUGAUAGUCGGGCUGAAGACUCUACUUGACUAGCUGAGAGGAGGUGCAUGGCCGUCGUCAGUUCGUACUGUGAAGCAUCCUGUUAAGUCAGGCAACGAGCGAGACCCACGCCAACAGUUGCCAGCUCGUCCUCCGGGAUGGUGGGGACACUGUUGGGACCGCCUCUGCUAAAGAGGAGGAAGGAAUGGGCAGCGGUAGGUCAGCAUGCCCCGAAUUAUCUGGGCUACACGCGGGCUACAAUGGGUGGGACAAUGGGUAUCGACACCGAAAGGUGAAGGCAAUCUCCUAAACCCAUCCGUAGUUCGGAUUGUGGGCUGCAACUCGCCCACAUGAAGCUGGAAUCUGUAGUAAUCGUGUCUCAAAAUGGCACGGUGAAUAUGUCCCUGCUCCUU